GAUGAACGCUGGCGGCGUGCCUAAUACAUGCAAGUCGAACGAAUCUUCUUCGGAAGAUGAGUGGCGAACGGGUGAGUAAUACAUAGGUAACCUGCCCCUGUGCGGGGGAUAACAGGAGGAAACUCCUGCUAAUACCGCAUAGCCAUGAGCACCGCAUGGAGCUCAUGCCAAAUAUCCUUUCGGGGAUAGCGCAGGGAUGGACCUAUGGCGCAUUAGCUUGUUGGCGGGGCAACGGCCCACCAAGGCAACGAUGCGUAGCCGGCCUGAGAGGGCGGACGGCCACAUUGGGACUGAGACACGGCCCAGACUCCUACGGGAGGCAGCAGUAGGGAAUUUUCGGCAAUGGGGGAAACCCUGACCGAGCAACGCCGCGUGAGCGAAGAAGGCCUUCGGGUCGUAAAGCUCUGUUGUAAAGGAAGAACGGCGCAUACAGGAAAUGGUAUGCGAGUGACGGUACU
rnacentral:rRNA from 1 species